AGCGGACUGGGGAACCCAGACCUGCCGAGCGACGUGGGCGAGCGGUGACCUGGACCACGGCGCAGACGCGGGCGAGCUGCGGCUCGGACGCCAGCGGACACGCGGGCGAGGGCCUUGGGAACUCCAAGACAGAAUGGCCCGAGGCCUGGACACUCUCUGAGGACAUCUCUGCAAAGGCCCCAGCGGCCCAGGCCAGUGGGAUGCGGGCUGCUGGCCCUGUCCAGACUCUCAUACUGUGGGGCAGGGUUGCAGAGGCCCCUCCCUGGGUUUGCUCUGGGGUGGCAGAGAGCCAUUAGAUGGUGACCUUGCUCUGUGGCCCAGGCUGGUCUCGAACUCCUGGACUCAAGCGAUCCUCCUGCCUGGGCCUCCUAAAGAUUCAGCUGCUUUUGGAUCAACCGAUCGCCUUAAGACCUUUUAACUCGAACACCUGUCACAUCCUAGGAUCCGCGAAGGACUGAAACAGAGUUUCUGAAGCGUCCCUCGGCGCAGUAGCUCCGCUCCACCUCCCAUUCGCGCUACCACCGCGGCCGCAGCCCCAGGAGUCGCCGCGGAGCCAGCGUCGCCCUCCAGCUGUUGCGCGUCGGAAGCCGGAAGCAGGGACUGAGCGACAGACUAGGAAACGCCGGUUUCUCCGGGGCUCCCCAGCGCCCCACCUUUACCCCGGAGGCCGCCCUCUUCCAUUUGCUCUUGGGCGUCAGGGCGGUACCCCACUCCGCUCGACCCUUUGGAUCCACUCGCACUUCCUCCCGUCCAGAGUCAAAGGCCCCGGAAGUGACGUUUACGCGCCGCGCGUAACACUCCAGCGGGAGGAAGAAGAGGCCUUUGCCAGCAGUCAGAGCAGCCAAGGGGCCCAAUCCCUCACAUUCUCCAAGUUUGA
rnacentral:lncRNA from 10 species